rnacentral:rRNA from 1 species
GUUAAAAAGCUUAAAUUUUAUUAAAAGACGAGAAGACCCUAUAGAGUUUGAUAAUUUAUUUGUUUUAAAAAUUUAAUAAUUUAAGUUUUAUUUAAUAUGUAAAAUUAUUUAGUUGGGGUGACUUAAAAAUUUAAAUAACUUUUUAUUUUUAAAAUCAUUAGUUUAUGAAUUAUUGAUCCAUAUUGUUGUGAUUAAAAGAUUAAAUUACCUUAGGGAUAACAGCGUAAUUUUUUUGGAAAGUUCUUAUUGAUAAAAAAGUUUGCGACCUCGAUGUUGGAUUAAAAUUAACUAUUGGCGCAGUUGUUGAUGAGUUGAGUCUGUUCGACUUUUAAAAUUUUACAUGAUCUGAGUUUAAACCGGUGUGAGCCAGGUUGGUUUCUAUCUUUAAUUUAAUAAUAUAUUUUAGUACGAAAGGACCGAUUAUUUAUAAAAUUUAUUUUUAUUUGGAUAAAGGUAACUCAAUGGUUAUUUUGGCAGAUUAGUGUAUUAAAUUUAGAAUUUAAUUAUGUAUAUAUUUUAUACAGAUAAUACUUGUUAUUUAUUGAUUAUUUUUUAAUGAUUGUUAGAAGCUUAAUUUUGGUUAUUUGUGUUCU